GAUCAAAACACAGGGGCGAACAAGGAUUCCCCACCAAACCCUAGUUCUUGACAAAUUGAUCAAAUUGAAGGCUCUAAUCAGUUCCAAAUCGAUUUUCAAGCACGGAUUAGUGAUCUCCUCUGAAAAAAAGGUCAUAAGGUAGAUUGACGCUCGAAAAGCUAGAUGGAAGCUUGGGUAGAAGCGGGUCAAACGGAACUAAUACGCAAGGAAAAGCAUAAUCGGAAUUCAAGGGUAAAACGGCUUAUGGAAAUUUGCGUUGCUAUAAAUUAGCAAAUUAUUGAAGCAAGGUAUUAAAUGGGUCAAUAUAUUGACCCGAGCCAGGUACGUAUAAAUAGGUUUACAGUUAAGAAUGAGUUUUUAGCCAAAUAAUUAGUAAGUCCUUUUUAGAAAAUGAGAGACUAAAAGUUUACCAAAAAAAAAGCCCUUGAUGGGUGAACCGGGUAAACGACCCUUAGAGGUUGUUUAGGAUCUUGUUUAUUGAUUAUGAAAUCCUUAGAUACAUAUAAAAGUUAUAGGCAAAAACAUUCGUGGAUCGAAUGCCUAAAAAUGGGUCAUUUGCGUAAAAUGACUAGUUGAAGGGUAGAAUUGGGAUUUUGGGUUCCUUACGUUAAAUCCACCACAAAAAUAGUUGUGGUGGAAGACAAGCAGUUAACUAGUAGUAACUAGUAUGGAAAUGCGAGGUAAGAAAGGAAAAUAGCGAGUUUGAUGCUUAAAUGCUUAAAGGUCUACUAAACGGGUCAAAAUAAAUUAAUAAGUUAAAUGUGAAUUAAGUGAUUAGAAAGAUACAUAUAAAUCGGUGAAUGUAAAUGCGUACGCGAACCUCGUAAUGGGAGUGAAAACGCUAAUGUUUGACUAGUACGGGAUGGGUAGAAAGGACAAGACAUGUUUUUAUCAUAUAAGUUAUAGUGUGAUGUUAUAACCAAACGGGUCGAAUAAUCAUAAAAGGGGAUUUAUAAGCCUUAAGCUUAUAAAUCUGAUUUUGAUGCAAAAAAAGAUGACAAACGGGUCCGUAAUUAAAUUACGGACGUGUAGGAAAAAGAAUUUCACGAAACGGACUUCUAGAAUGAGAGAUAUGGCAAUUUUAGGUUUGAAAAUUUGUAAAGAAUGGAGCUGGGCAAUUGCAGCACCAGCUAGCUAACUUGCUGUCAAAAAGAUGGUGUCGCGUCACGCGUUAGAAAAGCUUAGUCGUUGUCGCGCAACGCGAUGGAUGUCGCGCCCCGCGAGGGCCUUGAAAGCUGGCAAAACUGAUUUUGGUUGUUCGAUUUGUCUACGGAUAUGUUUUAAUAUGUUAUGAACAUAAUUUAACUAAAAUCAUUUCAUGUUUAUGAAAGGUAGGUGUGAGUUGAAGUGCCGGAGGACGAUCAAGCUCAACGAAGAACCGAAAAUGAUCAAUAUACAAGCUUCCGCAUUAUGUAUCGUCGUUAUUUUAAAUGACGAAUUUACACGUGUUAUGUUGUAUAAUUUUAAUUCCGUAAAAGUUUUUAUUAAACUCGUAUUUUUUUCAUUGUAUGUGUAAAGGAUAUUUACACGUUUUUAUCCGAAACUAAUAUAAUAAUAGCUAAUGGAAGUAAGGGUGUUACAGGAACCGGUUAUUUAUCAUUCUAACCUUCUUAUAUUUAGUAUAAAUAGUUGUUGAAGGCUUAGGUUUGAUUACACCACUUCUUUAACUCUCAAACCCUCUCUAUAACCGCAAAACCGCUCAAACCUCUCACUACGAUGGCAAAUAAUGAAGAAGUUGUUUUGGUA